rnacentral:ncRNA from 1 species
GAUCAUUGUGGUCCAAUUUGUAGGUUAAACUUUCUUCCAAUUUUACAUGUCAGUCAAAAUGAGACACCUUUCUUCGUAUAAUGAUGGUGGAUAGGCUCAGUAGAUUUAACUGGUUUCAAGGUAAUCUGGGCCCGGUUAGGAAGCAAGGAGCGGUAGGUUAGCGUGCCAGCAACCGCGGUCAUACGUUAGCUUCGAGUUUAAGAAAGUAUAUGAGAUAACUCCCGAGAGCAAUUGUUUUAAAGAAGGAUUUCAAGAUGAGUAGAAUCUUUUGAAGUUACUCCUAUAAAACCUCUGGAGCAGAAUGAAGAGGUAGCUACCAGGAUUAGAUACCCUGUUAAUUCUUCUAAAACUAUCUUAAAACACUAGCUUUGUGUUAAAUUUAUUGGAUUUGGCGGCAAAGUACCCUUUUAGAGGAACCUGCCCUGUAAACGAUGGACCGCGACUUCCUUACUUCUUUUUGAAACCCAGUUUAUAUACCGCUGUUGUCAGUUAGUUUCUUUAGAAAUCUAUCUUCUAUUUAAUAUAAAUAUACUUCAAGUAAAGGUGCAGCUUAUGAAGAAGAGAGAGGUGGGUUACAAUUAGACGAUUAAUCAUGGAUUAGCCUCUUAAAUAUGGCUUUGAAGGUGGAUUUAAUAGUAAGAUUUCAACAAAUCUGAUCCGAGCUAUACUUUGUGCACAAACCGCCCGUCGCUCUCUUGGUUGGGAUAAGUCGUAACAAGGUGAGUGCAUCGGAAGUUGUACUCGUUGAGAA